rnacentral:rRNA from 1 species
GAUUAAGUUAUUAAGGGCGCACGGUGGAUGCCUUGGCACUAGAAGCCGAUGAAGGACGUUACUAACGACGAUAUGCUUUGGGGAGCUGUAAGUAAGCUUUGAUCCAGAGAUUUCCGAAUGGGGAAACCCAGCAUGAGUUAUGUCAUGUUAUCGAUAUGUGAAUACAUAGCAUAUCAGAAGGCACACCCGGAGAACUGAAACAUCUUAGUACCCGGAGGAAGAGAAAGAAAAUUCGAUUCCCUUAGUAGCGGCGAGCGAAACGGGAAGAGCCCAAACCAACAAGCUUGCUUGUUGGGGUUGUAGGACACUCUAUACGGAGUUACAAAGGACGACAUUAGACGAAUCAUCUGGAAAGAUGAAUCAAAGAAGGUAAUAAUCCUGUAGUCGAAAAUGUUGUCUCUCUUGAGUGGAUCCUGAGUACGACGGAGCACGUGAAAUUCCGUCGGAAUCUGGGAGGACCAUCUCCUAAGGCUAAAUACUCUCUAGUGACCGAUAGUGAACCAGUACCGUGAGGGAAAGGUGAAAAGCACCCCGGAAGGGGAGUGAAAUAGAACCUGAAACCGUGUGCUUACAAGUAGUCAGAGCCCGUUAAUGGGUGAUGGCGUGCCUUUUGUAGAAUGAACCGGCGAGUUACGAUUUGAUGCAAGGUUAAGCAGUAAAUGUGGAGCCGUAGCGAAAGCGAGUCUGAAUAGGGCGUUUAGUAUUUGGUCGUAGACCCGAAACCAGGUGAUCUACCCUUGGUCAGGUUGAAGUUCAGGUAACACUGAAUGGAGGACCGAACCGACUUACGUUGAAAAGUGAGCGGAUGAACUGAGGGUAGCGGAGAAAUUCCAAUCGAACCUGGAGAUAGCUGGUUCUCUCCGAAAUAGCUUUAGGGCUAGCCUCAAGUGAUGAUUAUUGGAGGUAGAGCACUGUUUGGACGAGGGGCCCCUCUCGGGUUACCGAAUUCAGACAAACUCCGAAUGCCAAUUAAUUUAACUUGGGAGUCAGAACAUGGGUGAUAAGGUCCGUGUUCGAAAGGGAAACAGCCCAGACCACCAGCUAAGGUCCCAAAAUAUAUGUUAAGUGGAAAAGGAUGUGGCGUUGCCCAGACAACUAGGAUGUUGGCUUAGAAGCAGCCAUCAUUUAAAGAGUGCGUAAUAGCUCACUAGUCGAGUGACACUGCGCCGAAAAUGUACCGGGGCUAAACAUAUUACCGAAGCUGUGGAUUGUCCUUUGGACAAUGGUAGGAGAGCGUUCUAAGGGCGUUGAAGCAUGAUCGUAAGGACAUGUGGAGCGCUUAGAA